CUAGUUUGAUACAGAAAACAUGGAUAGAUUCUAAAAGAAACAUAAGCUAAUAUUCAACAAGGCUAAUAUUCACAUCCUUAAACUUCCAACUCAAUUCCAUGUUUCAGAUUUGCCCUUCAUAUAUCAUUAGGAUCCAAGAAGUACCUGGAGGUAAAAAUAAAGUAGAAGAGGGUGAGGAUUUCAGCAAUAGCAUAAGAGUGUAUAAAUCAUCAAAUCAACACAACAAUAUUCAACUUCCUUAGACAAUCUUUAAACAUAGAUGAAUCGAUAAUCCUUUGAAACUUUACGUUAUUGCUAAAAGUGAAAACCAAAUAGCCACUCCAAAUAAUUUUUAAAUAAAAAAGGAUGCAAAACUUUAAUGAUUCUUUCCAGUGGGAAGGUUGUUGGGAAUGUUAAUGCAACUGGUGAACAACGGAAGAAGGUAAGGUCAAGAAUGGUGAUAAGAAGAUGGAUGCUUCAGUUCAGAAGGGUAAAGAAAUUGUCCCAACAGGUAAUACCAAUGGGCAGCAGGUGCAAGAUGAAAACAACAACAACAACAACCCAGUAUAAAUCCCACUUAGUGGGGUCUGGGGUAGUGUGUAACAGACCUUACCCCUACCCUAGAAUAGAGACGGCAUCAGGUGCAAGAUGAAAAGAAGUUGCUUCACUUGCUUUGCUGCUUCACUCCCUUUUGAGAAUGGAUUAAAGUUUGGGGCUGAAGGAUUUAAUACUUUAUUAUUUCC
rnacentral:lncRNA from 1 species